GCAGUCUGCAACUCGAGUGCAUGAAGCUGGAAUCGCUAGUAAUCGCGGAUCAGAAUGCCGCGGUGAAUACGUUCCCGGGUCUUGUACACACCGCCCGUCGCACCAUGAGAGUCGGGAACACCCGAAGUCCGUAGCCUAACCGCAAGGGGGCGCGGCCGAAGGUGGGUUCGAUAAUUGGGGUGAAGUCGUAACAAGGUACC
rnacentral:rRNA from 1 species